GCCACUUUUACUUUCUCCUCAUGGCCAGACCUUUCCUCUUUUUUAAACAGAAUUCGGAUUUUGGAACAAAGGAGAGCCGAUCACUCGACUUGUUCAACCAAAUAGGAUUUUAGACCUUUAGUCUCCUCUCUUGUUCUGUCUGGAUCGGGAUUUGGUCAGCAAACUACUGCGGAUACGGAAGCAAAGACCGAGGUCCAGAUCACCCCAACGUUCUGGCUGAAGGUCCCAAGAAGGUGGGGGACGGAGCCUGCGUCGACUGGACCCUAUAAAUUGGUAGAGCGCAUCUCACAUGCCGUCCGGCUGGCCGACAAAGGAGAUUCGUGGUGUCAUCUGUCCCAGUGCGCCCCAGUGAAGGGUUCCUGGAAGGAACCAGAUCAGCCAUCGACAGUCCCCCCCCCCAGUUCAUACAGAGGCAGAAUAAUCCUCUUCCCCCUUGGUGGCCAGGUAGUCCACCCUGAGCCACUGAAGACAACGACCACGCAGCAAUUCCCAAGUUCUCCCCGGACGGAGCAGAUCUGCGAAGGGGGUGACAAUCGUGCUCACCCUCCACCAGUGGGCGUGCCAAGCCCCCAACGGCUGAACAAUCACGAGCAAUUUUUAUCUUGAUUGAUAACAGUCUGGUCGCCUAAGGCAGAGGGACCGUGUAACUCUUUUCCUGCAUUUAAUCUGGCCGCAGGUUUUUAAGUUGCACAUACUUUGGACUGGAGUAUUGAGGGAAAAACCUCACUGGAAGUUAUUGCUUUCAUUGUAUUUUCUUACUUAUGUUUGAUUGUUUGGGUUUGACAUAAUCAUAUGAUAAAACAGGAGGGAUAUGUUAGGGUUUGCAGAAUAUCUUCAUCGUAUGAUUAUGUUGGAAUGCAACCUGUAAUAAUUUAACUAGUUUGUCCUGUCUAGACAAAAUUAGUUUACCAAAGUGCUAAGAUCCUUUCAACUGAUUGACUAGACGCAGAGGAAGCAAUCAAAGUUGCUUUGUUUACAGAAAGUCGUAAAAGGCCCCCUGCUAUGCUUUGAUCAGCAGGGGAGCGUCUCCACCCUAACCUGUGUGUUCCCACACCCCCACUUUCAACCGCACUCUGUUUCUUUCAAUAAAUAAGCACCUGACGAGGCCUGAGUCAGACUUCAUUCGACCAUCGCUGUAAGCACAGCGACGAGUGAACUCUCCGCCUGCAGGUGUCUAAAAUGACUUGCUUGACUCCAGUGUGGUUCUUGCAAAAUAAGUUAGAGUGAGCACCACCCUAACAAAGUGUGUUGGGCAGGAUGGCUGAAUGCUAUGCGCAAUUGACAACAAAGAAGAAAGGUGAUUUCAAUUUUUAUUUCGAGGGAGAUUUGUCAUGUCUCGUCCCGUCUUGCUAUGUGUCUAGGUUGCCAUAGCUUCUGUUCGCGUCGCCCCUCCCUUCCUGUGUCACCUCAAUCAAUGUACCGUGUUUUGUAUUUAAGUCCUGUCUGCCCCUCGCUCACUGUCGGAUGAUGUCAUGAUGUCUGUGAGGUAAAUUUUGGAUUCUAUGCGUCACUGUAUGUCACCUUAAAUGGCGACCUUGCAGCAGUGAGAAGACCCUAAGCUAUUUUUGCGGUACAGAGAAGAUCUAGUUUCAGCAAUGUGUAGGUGCUUAGAAUAUGGAAGGGCCAUUCGUCCGUGACCAGGAAUACCUUUGUCCAUGCACUUUUAAGGGCAUCGGAAGUAACCAAUAGAGUGAGACUCGGACCGCAGCUGUUGUCUUACGAGGUACAAAUGAUGGGGGAGAACAGAUAGAAGGAGGUCAAGAACGCGAAGAGGAGAGCGCGAAGAGCAAGGAGCGCGCAGGGCGCAGAGGCACGAAGGACAAGAGCAGGGGCGCAGGGGCGCAAGGGGCAAGAGCAAGAAGCGCGAGGGCCUUUUUGGGGCGAACAUCUGUGCUGUCAAGAGCUGAAACAUCUUUGCUCUUGGGGCCACCCUAACUUUUGGAGAGACAUCACUUUGACAUCGGUUGAAUAAAUCUUUUCCCAAUCAGCCUUGUGUCACCGAAGUGCUUCCUUACCCGGACCAGCCAUCGUCCACUGAGUGUUUUUUUGGAGACCAGCGAAGCAACAAAGACCAUUCACCACAUUUUUGGCGUCACGAACAGGAUUCGUGUUCCCCCGGGGAAUUCCUGCCCGCUUCCUGAGCGAGAAUCCAGCGGUCGACCAGCGGCUGUCAUUAAGGUGAGAUGCUUCGCCCGCAGUUGCCGCGAUAUGCUCGGUUCUUGGACAGGUGGGGGGUCGGCCCCUUGAGGGGGGCAGUUACAACCGAAUCUGACGUGGCCAUGAGCUGUCUCGGGAGUAAGUUGUCUCUCCCAGUCAAAAAGUCGUCAUAAUUCGACUUUCGAAGGGGGAGUGGCCCCAAAUAGAAGCAGCAAAGGAAAAAUAAAAUAAAAAAUAGAAAAUAAAUAAAAAAUAAGAAAUAAAAAGUGAACAGUAACUUAGAACUUAAUGGGGAAUGUGCACAGUGGAGUGAGUGACAUGUCUGGUGAGAAUGAUGAAUGAUGAAAAAGAAAAAAGCCCGAAGUAGUGUGGCUCGUGACGGGACAGGUUGUCAGGGACAUCGCUGUUGACCGUCACAAUAAAAGAAUGGUAGAAAGUCCCAUAAAACGUGGACUUUAGUUUGGCGACAGAUCCGAUGGAGGAUAGAAAUUUUAGCUGUGUGAAUGAGGCGAAAACACAGAUACGAUUGAACACUGUUGCGACAGGAAACGACCCGCCCCAGAUGCAGUUCCUGGAAAAGCCGAGACACUGCAGUCGCACUCAGUGGCCGUACGGGCCAAGUGCGCACCUGUGGAGAGUUUCGGUGGCCGGGUUAGUCUCCGUCAAAAGUCCGACAAAAAAGGGAGGCUUGCGCUGACCGCGUUUGGCAAAUAGGAAAAGUGCGCAGCCUUGGCAUCCGUAACUGUGAGCAUGAAUGUGGAAGUGACCCGGUCAGACCCUUUUUUAAGGGUGCCGAAGUGGUCCGGUCAGACCCAGUUAUGGGUGCCGAGAUCCGGUCAGAUUUUAAGGGUACCGAGGAAAAUAAAGCGCGCGUAAGCCACGUCGUUUGGACACUGAUCGAAUUAGAAGUGUGUGGGGGUUACAAGGCUCCUCGAUUUAAACGCUGGUGCAAGAAAAUGGCAGAGUAAACUCGGUGGGCUGUCAUUUUUGAAUACCGAGGUAGCUGGUGCGUUAUCGCGGCAACGGUCCGAUCCCGAUUUGUCGAGGCGCACUGUAAUAGCAUGCACGUCUGUCAAAGUUUGAUAAAUUUGAGCCGGCGACAAAACCGCUAUUGGACGAAGGUUUUGUGCGGCUGCUGUGUGAAAAUGGAAAACGUGGAAAAGAGGCCUCUGGGGGGUUUAGUAGUGAUAUAAAAAGUAAUUUGUGUGCACACUUAAGUUAAAUUCUGCAGAAUAAAAGGGAAAUAUACAGCGCUAUUAGGAACGAAACGAAACGAAACAAAAAGUUAAGUAAGACGUGCGUAUUUGUCAGUGCAUCUGCGCUGAUGACAGUUAAAAUGACCAAACUGCUAAGCAGCAGUUGGAAAGAAGCAAAAUGUGGAAUGGAUUCGAAUCCCGUUGUAUGUCUUCUGUGUCCGUGUGUAAUUUUUGUGAACUCUGUCAGCUUAAUGUUGUCUGUUUGAGCUUCCGAAUGAAUGGACGCUUGAAGUGUGUAUUUGUUGGGCCCCGUAAGUGUGCGUGUGUGUGUGCGUGUGUGCGUGCAUAAAUGGGUGUGUGUGCGUACGUGCUCGUGAGUCCGUGCGUGUGUGUGGUUAUGCUCAUGAGCGCGCAUGGGUGUGAGCGCGUGCUUGUAGAAGCAGCAAAAGGAACGGAUAAGGAUGGUGUGCUCUCGUUGCUUUGGGCGCGUGCCCACCUGCGCUGCACGCGCGGGGAGAGGGAUCCGGCCCCCUGGGCGGCAGGGUGGCCAACCUGUACCUGCCCACUGUGUUUCAGGCUGGCCCCUCCCCGCGCGGGUGACGUCGGGGCGGUGCGAAUGGCUGGAGUUGUGCCCAUUUUAGGGGCCUGCGCGGCCAGCAGCGAAAGGAACUAUGACAAAAUGAUGGAAGACGGAAUGCUGAAGGAGCAAAAGAAUGCAUGACCAACUGGAGAAAUAGGAGCAUGCGUGUGUUAACCAAUACGACACCAAUAUAGAUGUAUCUAAAGAAAAACAUGCUGGGACGACAGCAAGCGGUGGCAGAAGAGUGUGGCCCCCUCGUAAAUAAUGGGGGACCACUCUAAGGCCAGCUGACGCUCCUUUUAGCAUUCUGAGAGGAAUAGGAAAUUGGAUCUGACGAAAAGCUCAACUUAUUAAUUUAAAUUGCUGAAAGGAUGACAAAAUUGAAAACAAAUUAUUGAUACUCGUUUCUUUGGGGCUCUCCUCAAUACUUCUGAUUUUCUCGUUACAUAAAAAACCUGAGACGGCGGAUACAUCCGUUGUCUCCAGGAGGACAUAGAGACACAGCAUGAACUUAGAAUUAAUGUUUAACAGCCGUCUAACAGGUGGAGUAGGAGCAUGCGAGGGCUAACCACUACAACACAAAUAUAGGUGAUUUGAGUGUCUAAAGAAAACUCAACCGGUCAACACUAAUUUAUGAGAGCAAGAGAGGUAUCAAGUGAGGGCCACAGCAGCAGCUGGAAUUAAAGGAAUUCCCUGGAUUUAGACAUAGGACUGAAUUGUAUGCAUGGAGAGCCUGCUCGUAAAUUGCGUUGGCCCGACAAGGCUGACCAGUGCCCACUGUAACAAGACGUACAGGUCAAAAGCAGCAAGUUCAAAAUAGAGGAGGAGAUGCCAACGAGGAGAGAUUGGAUUUGGUAGUAAUCGGUUGGUUCUUUUAAUAUUCUUGUAAAAAUAUGCUCGGUACAAAUAAAUUAGCGAUAGGACCAUUUUAGAAGUCCAAAAGUAAGAAACUCAAAUGAAAAUCACAUUCUAGAUUCGAAUAAUGGAGCCUAACUGGAGCAUGGGAAAAGUGAACAGCUGAGAAAUGGCCUUCGAUGUAGUGGCGGAGAAUUAAAAAUUCAAGAUAGUCCAGUAAUAUCGGUAAGUGAGCAUAACACCAAUAAUACUGAGGUCAAACCAGAGAAUAACAAUAAAGCUGACUUUGACUUUGACUUUGAAAAAAGAAUGCAAUGUUUGGAACAUGACUUAAUUAUGAAUAAUGUACAUUCUGUACGCAAAAUUGGGAAACUUUGUCUGAAAUUGAAGGCUCAAAUCAGGAAAGGUGAAAAGAUGAUAGAGAGGAUUGCAUAAAAUCAAAGGCAGGAAAACAAACAAUAGAAUGUACCCUGAAAUUAGGAUGAGCUUCUGGAAAUCACAGUAUAAUUGAGAGAAAUCACAGUUAAGACUUGAAAUUUUAAGUUUGGGGUAAUCUGCCACUUUAAAAUUGUUCAAAUAAGGUCCAUCACAAUACAGCCGAGAGCUCAUGAAGGAAAGGCAACGUUUUUCUCAAAUAUAUUAAAUUCUUGUUAAUAGGAGAAUUGGAAGUUUGAUUAACAAAAGGUACUAGGUAAUUAAUGGCUAAUUGGAAGACGAUAUUUAAGUUUGGUUUCCCAGUCUGUCUUUUCCAGUAUCCAGCAGUGACCCUGAAACUCGAUCCCGAGACUCCACCGACAGCUGAGAACAACAAGAAAACGGUGCAUGGCUCUGAGGCACCUUUGACCUUUUGCAAGAGCAAAGAAGGACUAUGUUUGUGCUUGGGGGGAGCACAACGCUCCGGAGGAAAACGACAUCCUCUGAGGCGAGAGUGAAGAAACUUACAAGAUGUGAAUGGACUCAGUUGAAAAUUGACUCAUCCGAGAGUGAGGAAUGAGUUGGCUCUGAGGCUACAACUAAAGACAACAACUUGAAAAUGAGGUGCGGCGAAAGAACCAUGAGACCUGAAAUGUGCAACAAGCGAACUGGACUCCUUGCUGGGGCGUAAUCAAUACUUGGUGGGCUUGGGUCAAAGUGAAUGGAAGCUUGCUUGGGCACUGAACUUGACACAACUGAGGAGUCUUGAUAAAAGAUAAAUAAAUAAAUCAGGAACAAAAGGUGUAGUGUUACAGAAAAAGGGAAAGCAUCAUGAUCAGAGGAUAAAUUUGGAUAAAACAGGCCAAAUUGUAUGAAAUAAAGAGUAGGAUCACAUUUAGUCCACCCAGCUUAACAAUUAGACAUCGGGUCGUUGACAAAUUGGAGAUGAAAAUAGGACAUUAGGACCCAAUAGGAUGCAGUCAAGAGGGGGCUAGAUUGUUCAAUGGACCUGAUUAUUAUUAAUUAAUAAAAUUAGAAGUUAAUUACAACUCACGGGGAAUUCAGAAAGUCCGAUAAGUUCAAGGAAUAACAGCCAUGGAAACUUUUGACAGUUAAGAAUAAUGCAGCAUAAGAGUCACACAAAAUGACAGUUAACGAGAUGACAAACGUGAUAGGACUCAAAUAACAAAUGCAUUGACAAGGCAAAGUGAAAACACCAUAGGGGAGUAGACUGUCGGAGGGACCCUUUUGAGUAUCUUUACCCAGCGGUUCGAUCAGAAUGAUUGAUUAGGAUAGAAUUAUUUAAGGACCAUCUGAGGCUGCUUCUUUCCCCAUGCUCACCCUUGGACAGGCUCAGCAGUAGAAAUAACUGAAUUUUUUAGGCAUUUAAUUGACAGUUUUACGGUAAAAGUGAGGAACGAUUGUAUGAAAUAUUUAAUCGAGAAGAUCAUCCAGAAAUGAAGUGUUACCUUCAAUAUUCACUGAUUGCCUACUCACUUACACAUACUAAAUUUGUUUGGUGUGGAAUGAGAGCUGAGCGAUGAAGGUGACUGAAUUGACACUUGUGUGGUUAAGAAUGUGUAUGUGUGUGUCUGGGACAGGGUGAAAGGCCAAAGUAUUUUGGAGUUGGGGUGAAAGGGUCACAGUUGAGGGUAAGAUUCCUCUCACAUGAGACUGGAACACCCAAGUUUGAUGAGUGAUGAGUUGUAACCUUAACCAACAGCUGAUGGUUACUCAGAGGCACCAUGAACAACAAAAUAGUUCAUGGAGAAGGCCCAUUUCAGCAACACGAAUGGACAAGACAGGACUAAUAUCAAACACUAGGACAAUGGACGAUAUGACGUGACAGACUUGGACUCACCCGACGGGAUGACUGACUAUGUGGAUGACAACCAAACAUUUGAAACUUAAGCUUGCUUGUGGCAAGUGCAAGCUUUGCUUUGUUUCUGUGUGUCACUUGACUUAUUGCAGCAUCAACCACCAGCCAAGGAGCAGAUUGCUGGCUGUUUUAUAACUUGUAAUAAUUUUGCAGGUUGGCGAUUGCAGUCUUGGAGAGUUUAUAUUGAAUUCACGUGAAAAUGUUAACCCUAACCCUUUUGAUUUUUGUGAUGAUUGAGGAUUUUCAGGACAGAAUCCCCGGGCGCCAUGAUUCGUUGUGUGUCUAUGUUUUAUUUUGAUACUCGAUGCCUGUGUACUUUUUGUGAGCGCAAGGGUCCGCUGUCAGCAGGGCUGUAUGCUCACUGGCAGGAGUGCGAUGAUUGUUGUUUUGUUGCCGAGUGUGGGGUGAACAGUCAAUUUUCAGAAACUUGGGGAUGACGGUUCUGGAUGAGUGAAAGGUUCGACAAACUGGCUGCAGGACGUAUGAUGAUGCGGUAGGACGUUUUGGCGGUUCCUUUUUGAAUGCCUGAUGACACAUUGAGUGAAUGUGUCAGAGGGGGGAGUUACAUUUAAAUGAGUAAGUAGAUAUAAAAGCUAUUUGUGACAUUCAAUGUUUUUUCGGAUUCAAUUAUUUUUGAGGCUUUAACAGGACAUGCCAGAAUUCAACAGGUAGUGAUGGAAGGAGCAGAAGAAGCAGCUCGAAAGGAAAGGAGUUACUGGGAGACAACAAUCUGGAAUGGAUGCAAAGCGUGGUAACAAUCUAGCGACAGUAACGGUUAAAGUGUCAACGGAAAAGCACGAAUGAUGACAAAUCAUACAGCUAAUAGGGAUUAGACUGCAGCGCAAUAGACAACAAAUGUUUGGAAGGUAAUUAAAUAAAAUAGGAAACUGGACCAGAAACAAGCAAUAGGGAUAAUUUCUUAACAUAUGAAUGCAUUAAAGCUGCUAUGAAAGGGAAGGUAUUUAAGAACACAUUUUAAGAGGGUUAAUUUGCAUAACAAAUGUUGAAAAGAGUUGAAUAGGUAAAUCAUUUUGGGAAGAUUAUAGGUUCAUUCAAAAGGGCGACUGAUUUGAACAGUAAGAUGACUUGAAGGGGAGACAAAGAUAAUGUACAUAAACAAAUUGGGUGAAGAAAACUGACAGGACUGAUGCCCAUUUGAGAAUACUGAGAAAAAUUGGAAUCAAAGAGGAAAAUUUGGAGUAAAAAUUAAGAUUUGAACUGGGAAAAGCAAUUGCAAAGACUGAUUGACAGGACGUCAGACAGGGACAGCUGCAGCAGGAAAGACUAACUUGAACAGGCAGAAGUUACUCUGCUACAGGACGGAUCUUGCGAGACUGACAACACGACGAGAAAUAAGGGGGAUUAUUCAUAACUCCUAGGGGGAGUGUUUGUUUGUUUGUUUGUUUGUUUGUUUGUUUGUUUGUUUGUUUGUUUGUUUGUUUCAGGAAUCACGUGGGCCUCUGGAUCAUAGGAGUAGAUGCCGAGAACGCUCGGAGGUUCUACUGAGCACUUCGAUGAGACGACGACCACCAGUCGUCCCCGUGCCCCAAUCAACCCCAAAAGAGAAGAUUUAGUUUGCAGACGACGGGUUAUGGAGAUGUCGUCUACUGGGGCUGACCGAAGGGGGCCGGGCGGACUUCCGGCCUACGCUGGGCAUAGCUGCUCUUUUCAUUGCAACUCAAGGUUUUGUGCUGUUGUCAUCGUUAAAUACUGGCAGUGGCUCCCGAUUAUUGCAGACCCCGUGGACGCUGACCGGGGCCUGGAAAGAGACUCUGAGGACGGUGGAGUGGACAUAAAGAUUUUGGAUGGACGGCAGGCCCUGAGCAGUGAUCCCGGGGCAAAGUCACUACUGAGCAUUCAGUGGACUGGGCUUUGCAUCGACAGGCACUUACAUAUGCAAGGGGGGCAACACUGAGGGCGCUUCAACGUUUCAGUAUGCUGUGAUAUUGCGUCAAUAUUUUAUCAAUCAGUACUUUAUCUGAUGACUACAUGCUGCAAUUACUUUAUCUUAUUCAUUUAACUUUUCACAUGUUAACAUUGACAAUGCAGUUUGACUGUUUAGCGGUCGGUGUACUUGUCAUUUCUUUUCCUUCUGUUUUGUGAGCUCAUACUGUUUUGUGGAUUGUGAUAUGUGCCAAGACUCCUUGUACCUGGCUGACGCCAGGUGGAAGGAAUCACUGAGGAUGUUAGAAAGGGCCUCCCUCUUUUUCCGUGUCAUUAGACUGGCAUGGUUUUUUCUCGAGGGAGGUCCGGCAACUUUUUGAGGUUUCUAACGGACCACACCAAAUUCAUUGCUUCAUUAAUUAUCGACGGUAUUGAGAUAUUACCUAAGGGGGGUGGUUAUCGUCAUUUGAAUAAUGUGGACUUCAAUUUUCUUUAUUUGUGGUUCCUGAGAGGCCUCAGAUUGCUGUCAGGGAGCAAUUGGAUACCAAAGUAGUUUGAGCUUUCCUAGUUAAAAUAACCUUAAGUAGCAUGCCUCGAGCGUGAUAUAGGCUGUGCAGGUAUAGGCCAAAUUGUAGACGUGAUCAGAAAAUUUGGUUGGGUGAAGAUUUUUGGAUGUUUACCGAUGUCAUCUCUUUUUGGACCGUUUUCGGGACAUUUAUAAAGUCCCGGAGGGGGGAAUGAGGUAAAUUUUGGAUUCUAUGCGUCACUGUAUGUCACCUUAAAUGGCGACCUUGCAGCAGUGAGAAGACCCCAAGCUAUUUUUGCGGUACAGAGAAGAUCUAGUUUCAGCAAUGUGUAGGUGCUUAGAAUAUGGAAGGGCCAUUCGUCCGUGACCAGGAAUACCUUUGUCCAUGCACUUUUAAGGGCAUCGGAAGUAACCAAUAGAGUGAGACUCGGACCGCAGCUGUUGUCUUACGAGGUACAAAUGAUGGGGGAGAACAGAUAGAAGGAGGUCAAGAACGCGAAGAGGAGAGCGCGAAGAGCAAGGAGCGCGCAGGGCGCAGAGGCACGAAGGACAAGAGCAGGGGCGCAGGGGCGCAAGGGGCAAGAGCAAGAAGCGCGAGGGCCUUUUUGGGGCGAACAUCUGUGCUGUCAAGAGCUGAAACAUCUUUGCUCUUGGGGCCACCCUAACUUUUGGAGAGACAUCACUUUGACAUCGGUUGAAUAAAUCUUUUCCCAAUCA